AGGCGUUUCUGGCUUGUUAUCCAAAGCGGGUGAUUUAGGUUCAUCACUGCAAGGCAGUGCGAUGGUGUUAGAUGCCUU
rnacentral:tRNA from 1 species